GGGGGCGGGGCGAGCGGAGCGGAGCGGAGCGGGCGGGGCGAGCUUGGCGGCUGGUGGCGUUCAGGGACUCUGAGGACGCCGUGACUUGAGGGCCGGAAGGUGAAGUCCGCCCAGGACGAGAAUGUCCGACUAAACUGAUGCACUCCAAAAAUUUGUUUAAAUCUCUCUGAGAGACUAAGCGAGAUUCUGCCUUUACGCAUUAUGCUUGUGUGGCCGAGGACUGAGUAAAUAAAUGUUCACGUGAAGUCUUCUUGGCAACCUGGAUCACCGUCUGCCAUUCUAGAUUUGAAAACUCUACUUUCUGAAUCGGGGAAGUGACUGUGUUUACAUAUUGUAACAUUUCAGAUGUCUAAUAAAACUUGCCCUCCUCCGGAACACUCAGGAAAAAACUGAUUUUACUUAUCCACAAGAGACAUAGAGAGAGGCAGAGGGAGGAGAAGCAGGCUCCGUGCAGGGAGGAGGACUAAAGAGACUUCUAAAGAGUCAGAGGACUUCAUUGUGGAACAGUAUAAACGUCUCCGCCAGAGGGAUGGCUCUGGAGUAACCAAGUCUUCAUGGAGGAUUACAGUGCGACAACUUGAGAGCAUGAUCCAUCUCUCUGAAGCAAUGGCUCGAAUGCACUGCUGUGAUGAGGAACUGAGGUCUCCUGCAACUUGCAAGCCAUGUGAGUGACAUAUUUUAGUACUGGUCCUCUCAUCCCCAGUCAAGACUUCAGAUCCAGCUGACAUUGUGACUGCAAUGAUACAUGGUUAGCCAGAACAACUCAGCUGAGCAGCUGAGCUGUUGCCAAAUUCCCGACUCACAGAAACUGUGUCAGAUAACAAUUGUUUAUUAUUGCUUCAAGCUGCCAGUUUUGGGAAUGAAGUGCUAUACAACAAUAGAUAACUAAUACUCCAAACAAUCAGAAAGGAUGCAGAAACUGGCUUAUUGCUCAUGCAGCAUCCUGGAGCCUCCUCUGCUAUCACUCUAAGCUCCAUUCAUCAUCUGUGCGUCAUGUUCAUGAACUGUCCCAAGAGACUCAAUAAUUAUUUGUGGAAAGACAGAAGCUUCAUUAGACCGAUGCUGAUUUGGGGCUUUAUGAACCAGUAAAAUUUCCAGGAAAAAGAAGGGCAUGUAUCCCUGACUCAAAACAAGAAUAAUUGAGUACCAGGAAGAAGCCACACUGCCUAUGCUAUUGGGAGUGGGGCCGUGAGUAAUGAAGAGGAGAAAAGAUGCAUCAGGCCUUCAUCCCUUAAGCUCUGGGAAUGCAUAAAGAUGUCUGGAUCCAUAAACAGCUGUGUACCUGGUAUGACUCUGCCUCAAAGUGGUCAUAAAGUCUGGGAGACCAGCCUUAAAAUCAAGAAACCAAGGUUCAAGCCCCACCAAUGCCACUUACCUUGGAUAAAUUUACCAAUUUCCCUGAAUUUUCUCAUCUGUAAAAUUCUCGUCUUAAUCAAUCUUGACUUAAGGUUUUGUGGUAAAAAUAAAAGCAACAUGCAAAAACA